rnacentral:rRNA from 1 species
UACGUAGGGCGCAAGCGUUGUCCGGAAUUAUUGGGCGUAAAGAGCUCGUAGGCGGCUUGUCGCGUCGAUUGUGAAAGCCCGGGGCUUAACUCCGGGUCUGCAGUCGAUACGGGCAGGCUAGAGUGUGGUAGGGGAGAUCGGAAUUCCUGGUGUAGCGGUGAAAUGCGCAGAUAUCAGGAGGAACACCGGUGGCGAAGGCGGAUCUCUGGGCCAUUACUGACGCUGAGGAGCGAAAGCUAGGGGAGCAAACAGG